GAUGAACGCUGGCGGCGUGCCUAAUACAUGCAAGUCGAGCGAACGGACGAGAAGCUUGCUUCUCUGAUGUUAGCGGCGGACGGGUGAGUAACACGUGGAUAACCUACCUAUAAGACUGGGAUAACUUCGGGAAACCGUAGCUAAUACCGGAUAAUAUUUUGAACCGCGUGGUUCAAAAGUGAAAGACGGUCUUGCUGUCACUUAUAGAUGGAUCCGCGCUGCAUUAGCUAGUUGGUAAGGUAACGGCUUACCAAGGCAACGAUGCAUAGCCGACCUGAGAGGGUGAUCGGCCACACUGGAACUGAGACACGGUCCAGACUCCUACGGGAGGCAGCAGUAGGGAAUCUUCCGCAAUGGGCGAAAGCCUGACGGAGCAACGCCGCGUGAGUGAUGAAGGUCUUCGGAUCGUAAAACUCUGUUAUUAGGGAAGAACAUAUGUGUAAGUAACUGUGCACAUCUUGACGGUACCUAAUCAGAAAGCCACGGCUAACUACGU
rnacentral:rRNA from 1 species